rnacentral:rRNA from 1 species
AUUGAACGCUGGCGGCAUGCCUUACACAUGCAAGUCGAACGGUAACAGGUCUUCGGAUGCUGACGAGUGGCGAACGGGUGAGUAAUACAUCGGAACGUGCCUAGUAGUGGGGGAUAACCACUCGAAAGAGUGGCUAAUACCUCAUGAGAUCUACGGAUGAAAGCAGGGGAUCGCAAGACCUUGUGCUACUAGAGCGGCCGAUGGCAGAAUAGGUAGUUGGUGGGAUAAAAGCUUACCAAGCCGACGAUCUGUAGCUGGUCUGAGAGGACGAUCAGCCACACUGGGACUGAGACACGGCCCAGACUCCUACGGGAGGCAGCAGUGGGGAAUUUUGGACAAUGGGCGCAAGCCUGAUCCAGCAAUGCCGCGUGCAGGAUGAAGGCCUUCGGGUUGUAAACUGCUUUUGUACGGAACGAAAAGCCCUGGGUUAAUACCCUGGGGUCAUGACGGUACCGUAAGAAUAAGCACCGGCUAACUACGUGCCAGCAGCCGCCGUAACAC